CGAACGGGUGAGUAAUGCGUGACCAACCUGCCCCAUGCUCCAGAAUAGCUCUUGGAAACGGGUGGUAAUGCUGGAUGCUCCAACUUGACGCAUGUCUUGUUGGGAAAGUGUUUAGUGGCAUGGGAUGGGGUCGCGUCCUAUCAGCUUGUAGGCGGGGUAAUGGCCCACCUAGGCUUCGACGGGUAGCCGGCCUGAGAGGGCGGACGGCCACAUUGGGACUGAGAUACGGCCCAGACUCCUACCGGAGGCAGCAGUC
rnacentral:rRNA from 1 species